rnacentral:rRNA from 1 species
CAGUCGAGGGGUAUAGUUCUUCGGAAUUAGAGACCGGCGCACGGGUGCGUAACGCGUAUGCAAUCUACCUUUCACAGAGGGAUAGCCCAGAGAAAUUUGGAUUAAUACCUCAUAGUAUAGUGAUACCGCAUGGUACUACUAUUAAAGUCACAACGGUGAAAGAUGAGCAUGCGUCCCAUUAGCUUGUUGGUAAGGUAACGGCUUACCAAGGCUACGAUGGGUAGGGGUCCUGAGAGGGAGAUCCCCCACACUGGUACUGAGACACGGACCAGACUCCUACGGGAGGCAGCAGUGAGGAAUAUUGGACAAUGGGCGCAAGCCUGAUCCAGCCAUGCCGCGUGCAGGAUGACGGUCCUAUGGAUUGUAAACUGCUUUUGCACAGGAAGAAACAACUCUACGUGUAGAGUCUUGACGGUACUGUGAGAAUAAGGAUCGGCUAACUCCGUGCCAGCAGCCGCGGUAAUACGGAGGAUCCAAGCGUUAUCCGGAAUCAUUGGGUUUAAAGGGUCCGUAGGCGGUUUGGUAAGUCAGUGGUGAAAGCCCAUCGCUCAACGGUGGAACGGCCAUUGAUACUGCCAGACUUGAAUUAUUAGGAAGUAACUAGAAUAUGUAGUGUAGCGGUGAAAUGCUUAGAGAUUACAUGGAAUACCAAUUGCGAAGGCAGGUUACUACUAAUGGAUUGACGCUGAUGGACGAAAGCGUGGGUAGCGAACAGGAUUAGAUACCCUGGUAGUCCACGCCGUANACGAUGGAUACUAGCUGUUGGGAGCGAUCUCAGUGGCUAAGCGAAAGUGAUAAGUAUCCCACCUGGGGAGUACGUUCGCAAGAAUGAAACUCAAAGGAAUUGACGGGGGCCCGCACAAGCGGUGGAGCAUGUGGUUUAAUUCGAUGAUACGCGAGGAACCUU